rnacentral:misc_RNA from 1 species
AUACUUUGCAUCACAAACCAAGCAAGACUCUUUACUUUCCCACUUCCCUUUUCCACACCUAUGACAGACUCUUGACUUCUUAUUCUUUUUUCUCUCCUUAGAAACUCCAACAUCUUCAGGAAAGACUUGAUUCUCAAUUUCCCCCGUUACUCUUUCAGAUCUGUCAACAAAGGUGACUACUGGGGCUCUUCUCCCCUGGUGAUUCAGCACUGAACCCGGGGAUGCUGAUGGAGAACCUGAAGAAGAAUCAGGGUUCUGCAAGACAGACACUUGAGACUCAGAACUAUAAGAUACCCUUGGACUAUGACUAGGGGAACUUGUUACUCCAGCAAUACGAGAUACCGGCAAUGGAAUAGGUUCGAUAACCG